UCUAUCACGGAGGGAUGCAACAAUUCCAUCUUGCUUCUCGGCCCUCGCGGCUCUGGAAAAGCUGCUGUCUUGGAUCUCGUUGUUGGUGAUUUAUUGGAGGAGUUCCCUGAUUCAGUAUCACUGAUCAGACUGAAUGGUCUCUUGCAUAGUGAUGAUAACUGUGCUUUUAAGGUCUG